rnacentral:rRNA from 1 species
AUUGAACGCUGGCGGCAUGCCUUACACAUGCAAGUCGAACGGUAACGCGGGGCAACCUGGCGACGAGUGGCGAACGGGUGAGUAAAGCAUCGGAACGUGCCCAGUAGUGGGGGAUAGCCCGGCGAAAGCCGGAUUAAUACCGCAUACGACCUAAGGGUGAAAGGGGGGGAUCGCAAGACCUCUCGCUAUUGGAGCGGCCGAUGUCAGAUUAGCUAGUUGGUGGAGUAAAAGCUCACCAAGGCGACGAUCUGUAGCUGGUCUGAGAGGACGACCAGCCACACUGGGACUGAGACACGGCCCAGACUCCUACGGGAGGCAGCAGUGGGGAAUUUUGGACAAUGGACGAAAGUCUGAUCCAGCCAUGCCGCGUGCGGGAAGAAGGCCUUCGGGUUGUAGACCGCUUUUGUCAGGGAAGAAAUCCUUUGAGCUAAUACCUCGGGGGGAUGACGGUACCUGAAGAAUAAGCACCGGCUAACUACGUGCCAGCAGCCGCGGUAA